CCUACGGGCGGCAGCAGUGAGGAAUAUUGGUCAAUGGGCGCGAGCCUGAACCAGCCAAGUAGCGUGAAGGAUGAAGGCCCUACGGGUCGUAAACUUCUUUUAUAAAGGAACAAAGUGUGGCACGCGUGCCCUUAUGAAUGUACUUUAAGAAUAAGCAUCGGCUAACUCCGUGCCAGCAGCCGCGGUAAUACGGAGGAUCCGAGCGUUAUCCGGAUUUAUUGGGUUUAAAGGGAGCGUAGAUGGGUUGUUAAGUCAGUUGUGAAAGCUUGGGGCUCAACCGGAGAAUUGCAAUUGAUACUGGCAGUCUUGAGUAGAGUAGAGGUAGGCGGAAUUCGUGGUGUAGCGGUGAAAUGCUUAGAUAUCGCGAAGAACUCCGAUUGCGAAGGCAGCUUACUAAACUGACACUGACGCUGAGGCUCGAAAGCGUGGGUAUCAAACAGGAUUAGAUACCCCAGUAGUC
rnacentral:rRNA from 1 species